rnacentral:lncRNA from 1 species
GUGUCCCAUCGUCUCCUUCUAGCUCUGGAACUUUAAUGUUUUCCGAUCGACAUAGCUCUGCACACUGCUGAGUUAGCUGAUUUGUAGCUAUAGACUUCAGUUUAACUUCAUUAGUCUUUAGCUUUUCUAUUUCAUUACCCAUACUGUCCACUUUCAUUGAAAGCGUAGUUAGGGUGUUGAAUAUCUUUUCUAGAGUAUCCUCUUCUAUUAUAUCAGUCUGUGUAGCUUUGUCUUGAUAUGUAAUCUGCAAUAACAUUUUUGUUAGUACU